AUUUAAGGUGGCUCGAUAUAGUUAUCACAAGAACCCUGCUCAAGAAUCGCGAACUCAAAACCGGGUGCCCAUUUUUACGCGCAGGUCGCGGAAACUGAUUAACAAAAUGAAAGAACUUCCAAAAUGACAUGACAUGAGCAGUUGCUCGCGCCAUAUCACGCCAUUGCGCGUGUUAUAUAGCGUUUUAUAUCAAUUGCUGACGUCAUUAGAAUUUCCCAUUUUAGAAAAACAAUGCGCUAUAUCUCUUUAUUUUGUCUGGUGACCAAUGU